rnacentral:rRNA from 1 species
AACGAACGCUGGCGGCAUGCCUAACACAUGCAAGUCGAACGAGACCUUCGGGUCUAGUGGCGCACGGGUGCGUAACGCGUGGGAACCUGCCCUUAGGUUCGGAAUAACUCCCCGAAAGGGGUGCUAAUACCGGAUAAUGUCUUCGGACCAACGAUUUAUCGCCCUUGGAUGGGCCCGCGUUGGAUUAGCUAGUUGGUAGGGUAAAAGCCUCCCAAGGCGACGAUCCAUAGCUGGUCUGAGAGGAUGAUCAGCCACACUGGGACUGAGACACGGCCCAGACUACUACGGGAGGCAGCAGUGGGGAAUACUGGCCAAUGGGCGAAAGCAUGAUGCAGCAAUGACGCGUGAGUGAUGAAGGCCUUAGGGUUGUAAAGCUCUUUUACCCGGGAUGAUAAUGACAGUACCGGGAGAAUAAGCUCCGGCUAACUCCGUG